AGCUCCAAGAGCGUAUAUUAAAGUUGUUGCAGUUAAAAGCUCGUAGUUGGAUUUCUGGUAUAACGCGCCUGGCCCGCUUUUGUGAGUGCCGGUUGCACGUUUGCCAUCCUUCUAGAAACCGUUUCUACCCGGGCAACUGGGCCGGACUCGUGAUCUAGAUCUUUUACUUUGAAAAAUUAGAGUGUUUAAAGCAGGCUUUUGCUAUGAAUACAUUAGCAUGGAAUAAUAAUCUAGGACUUCGGUUCUAUUUUGUUGGUUUCUAGUACUGAAGUAAUGAUUGAUAGGGAUAGUUGGGGGUGCUAGUAUUGGCCGGCCAGAGGUGAAAUUCUUGGAUUCGGUCAAGACUAACUUAUGCGAAAGCAUUCACCAAGGAUGUCUUCUUUAAUCAAGAACGAAAGUUACACCG
rnacentral:rRNA from 1 species